UAAAAGAGCCUUGUCACUUAUUAAAAUGUAUAUUAUUUACUUUGCUUUAAUUAGAUAUACCCAGAAUAAAAUCAGACACCGUUCUCGAAAUAAAAAGGGCCAAAACAUUUUUUCAAUAUGGCUUCUGUGUUCUGGAGCUUUAAGAAUUUUUUGUCCACUCAGACUCAACAUGGUUUCUAAACGAUAAGCUGGGAAGACAAAGGGGUAGAUUCAAUAAGUCUCCGACCAAUGCUUCUACGGAUUUCUAUCGGGAAAUAAGUCUUUACUCCCCACACGACCUCUCAACUCUCCGUCUAAAUGAAAAAGGUCAAUUCCCUUGUCAGCACAUUAUUUGGGAGACGUGUGUAAUGGUGCACCUGAUUACAAAUGAUAGUCAAUAAGGGUCUUUUAUAAUAGGGGUCAAAUCACGCGGUAAUGUGCUCUGGUUUUUAACACACAAGCUAUAAUACAAUAUUGCCAGCUAGAGAAAUAAAUAAUAAAUUACCGUUACGGUAUUUAUUUCUGAACCGUAAAAUCUUCAAAGAAAAACACAUGAAAGCUAUUCUGUAGUAAAAUACUAAAUACCGGAAUUAAUAAACUUGCAUCAAAAUAUGCUAUAAAAUGACGUCCGGCUUGAGUUUUACGGAGAAAUAUCGAGGAACUGUUACUUUGACAAAGUUUAUUAAUGGAGAGUAGGAAAGUAGCUCUAGUGAUUAAAUGGGUUUAGAAGUGAGAGGAACUUGGCACUUCCCUGUGCAUGAACAUAUAGAUAAUUUGUUAAGAGAUUGUUUGCCGCUAAGCCGACUUCCUCACAACAAUAUUUUAAAGAAACUUUACGUAAGUAAUUGUGAUGGACCCGUCCUUUUCAAUUACACGAGACGCGACUUUUGCUUCGAGCUUUGUUGUAAACGAGCCAUUAGAUAAUAUUUGUUUUAUUGAUGUCGUUAAUCUUUCGUUUUAUGACACAUAAAUAAACCUCGAGUAAGCCUUUGCAGGAAAUAAAAACGGGAGAAAAACUCGUCGCAAGAGGUCAGAGUAUGGUGGCGGUUUUUGGUAAAGCGAAAGUCGUAAAAGAUUGCAACCUAAAUCUUUAGUUAUUUACUAAAUGACAAAAGUGGACAUUUUUAUACUCUCACCACUAACUGUCGUCAUAACCUGUACGAAUAACUAAUUCUUAUCACAUUUACACAAUUUUGCGAUAUCGUUUAAGAUUACUUUUUUAUAAUGUAAUCAUAUGGUAAUUGAAUAAAGAGAUUGAUUCUUUCUU